rnacentral:rRNA from 1 species
UGGCGGACGGGUGAGUAAUGUCUGGGAAACUGCCCGAUGGAGGGGGAUAACUACUGGAAACGGUAGCUAAUACCGCAUAACGUCGCAAGACCAAAGAGGGGGACCUUCGGGCCUCCUGCCAUCGGAUGUGCCCAGAUGGGAUUAGCUUGUAGGUAAGGUAACGGCUUACCUAGGCGACGAUCCCUAGCUGGUCUGAGAGGAUGACCAGCCACACUGGAACUGAGACACGGUCCAG